rnacentral:rRNA from 1 species
CGUAGGGUGCGAGCGUUAAUCGGAAUUACUGGGCGUAAAGCGUGCGCAGGCGGUUCGUUAAGUCAGAUGUGAAAGCCCCGGGCUCAACCUGGGAACUGCAUUUGAAGCUGGCGGGCUUGAGUGCGGCAGAGGGGGGUGGAAUUCCGCGUGUAGCAGUGAAAUGCGUAGAGAUGCGGAGGAACACCGAUGGCGAAGGCAGCCCCCUGGGCCGACACUGACGCUCAGGCACGAAAGCGUGGGGAGCAAACAG